AGCAUGUGGUUUAAUUCGAAGCAACGCGAAGAACCUUACCAGGCCUUGACAUGCAGAGAACUUUCCAGAGAUGGAUUGGUGCCUUUCGGGAACUCUGACACAGGUGCUGCAUGGCUGUCGUCAGCUCGUGUCGUGAGAUGUUGGGUUAAGUCCCGCAACGAGCGCAACCCUUGUGUUUAGUUGCAAACAGGUCAAGCUGUGCACUCUAGACAGACUGCCGUGGACAACACGGAGGAAGGUGGGGAUGACGUCAAAUCAUCAUGCCCCUUAUGAUCUGGGCUACACACGUGCUACAAUGGCCGGUACAACGGGCAGCGAAGGAGCGAUCCGGAGCGAAUCCUAAAAAGCCGGUCCCAGUUCGGAUUGCAGGCUGAAACUCGCCUACAUGAAGUUGGAGUUGCUAGUAAUCGCGAAUCAGAAUGUCGCGGUGAAUGCGUUCCCGGGUCUU
rnacentral:rRNA from 1 species